GAUGACGACCGGCGCACGGGUGCGCACCGCGUAUGGAACCUGCCUUGUACAGGGGAAUAGCCCAGGGAAACUUGGAUUAAUGCCCCGUAGUACCGUGGCCCGGCAUCGGGAUACGGUUAAAGCCUUCGGGCGGUACAAGAUGGCCAUGCGUCCCAUUAGCUAGUUGGUAAGGUAACGGCUUACCAAGGCUACGAUGGGUAGGGGCCCUGAGAGGGGGAUCCCCCACACUGGUACUGAGACACGGACCAGACUCCUACGGGAGGCAGCAGUGAGGAAUAUUGGACAAUGGAGGAGACUCUGAUCCAGCCAUGCCGCGUGCAGGAAGAAUGCCCUAUGGGUAGUAAACUGCUUUUAUACGGGAAGAAAAAGAGCUACGUGUAGCUUACUGACGGUACCGUAAGAAUAAGGACCGGCUAACUCCGUGCCAGCAGCCGCGGUAAUACGGAGGGUCCGAGCGUUAUCCGGAAUUAUUGGGUUUAAAGGGUCCGUAGGCGGGCCGAUAAGUCAGGGGUGAAAGUCUGCCGCUCAACGGUAGAACUGCCUUUGAUACUGUCGGUCUUGAGUUAUAGUGAAGUUGCCGGAAUAUGUAGUGUAGCGGUGAAAUGCAUAGAUAUUACAUAGAACACCGAUUGCGAAGGCAGGUGACUAACUAUAUACUGACGCUGAUGGACGAAAGCGUGGGGAGCGAACAGGAUUAGAUACCCUGGUAGUCCACGCCGUAAACGAUGGAUACUAGCUGUCCGGAACCUUGAGUUCUGGGCGGCCAAGCGAAAGUGAUAAGUAUCCCACCUGGGGAGUACGUUCGCAAGAAUGAAACUCAAAGGAAUUGACGGGGGCCC
rnacentral:rRNA from 1 species